rnacentral:rRNA from 1 species
AUAUUUAAAUAUUAAUAUAUAAUUUUUUUUAUAUAAUUUUUUUUUUAAAAAAAAUAAUUUUUAAUUUAUUAUAUUUUAGUAUAAAAAAAAAAAUAAAUUUAAUAUUUUAAUAUAAUUGAAAAAGAUUAAAUUUAAAAUUUGUAUAAAAUUUAUUAAUUUUAUUUACCUUUUGUAUCAGGGUUAAUUAAAAAAAAUUAUUUAAAAAUAAUUUCUCGAAUUAAUAAGAUCUAAUUAAAUAUUUUUUUUAAUGUAGAAUAAUUAUAUAUAAUAUUUAUUUAGAAAUGAAAAUUUAAACGUUUAUUAAGUUAUCUAGUUAAUUAAUAAAUGAAUUUAAUUCAAGUAAAUUAAUUAUUUUUUUUUUAUAAAUAAUAUUUUUUUUUAAUUUACUAAAAAUUUUAGGGAUAAACUUAAAGUUUUAUUUAAAAUUUUUUUUUUUUCAUAAAAUAAAAUAAAAAUAGAAAUAUUUAUUUUUAAAAAAAAUGUAAUAAUUUAAUUUAAUUUAAUUAAUAAUAUUUUUAAAAAAUUAUUAAUUUAGUAUAUAAAAUUUAUUUAUAUAUAAAAUAAUGAUUAAAUUAGUAUAUUUAAAAUAUUAUUUAAAAAUUUUAUUAUUUUAAAGAUAAAUUUAAGGAAUUAAGCAAAAAAUUAUUUAUAAAAAAAAAUAAUUAUAUUCACCUGUUUAUCAAAAACAUGUCUUUUUGAAUUUAAUUUAAAGUCAAAUCUGCUCAAUGAAAAUAUUUAAAUAGCUGCAGUAUUUUAACUGUACAAAGGUAGCAAAAUCAAUAGUUUUUUAAUUAAAAGCUGGAAUGAAAGAUUUAAUGAAAUAUAAACUGUCUCAAAUUUAAUAAAAUUAAAAUUUUUUUUUUAGUUAAAAUUCUAAAAUUAAAUUAAAAGACGAGAAGACCCUAUAGAUUUUUAUAAAUUUAUAUAUUUAAAAUAUUAAAUUAAUUUAUUUUAAAUAUUUAAUUUUAUUUAGUUGGGGCAAUUAUUAAAUUUAAAAAACUUAAAAAAUUUUAUUACAUUUAUUUAUGAAUUAAUUAUUUUUUAUAAAAAAUAUAAAAUAAAAUACCUUAGGGAUAACAGCAUAAUUUUUUUUAAUAGAUCUUAUUGAUAAAAAAGAUUAUGACCUCGAUGUUGAAUUAAGAUAAAAUUAAAAAGAAAAAAUUUUAAAUUUUUGGUCUGUUCGACCAUUAAAAUCUUACAUGAUUUGAGUUCAGAUCGGUGUAAGCCAGAUCGGUUUCUAUCUUUAAUAAAUUUAAUAAAUUUGUACGAAAGGACUUUUUAUUAUAAAUAAUUUAAAUUUAAAGAAUUAUUUAAUAAUUAAAUAA